rnacentral:tRNA from 1 species
UUGAGGUCAUACCUAGGUCGAACGAGAUUGGAAAAAAGGCUUUCAAACUAUUCUCAGGUUGGGUCAAUGGGCUAUUAGCUCAGGUGGUUAGAGCGCACCCCUGAUAAGGGUGAGGUCCCUGGUUCAAGUCCAGGAUGGCCCACCUCCCUAAAAAACCAGGGGGUAUAGCUCAGUUGGUAGAGCGCUGUCCUUGCACGGCAGAUGUCAGCGGUUCGAGUCCGCUUACCUCCACCAAACUAAUAAAAAAGAAAUAAGUAGUUAAUCAUUGUCAACGCCAAAAGAGAAUGAUAGACUAGAAAGAGUGAAAAAAAUGAGUCAGCACCUUGAGUGGGAAAAAAACCACAAAGAAUGCUGGUUACAUAAACCAGUCAGAACCUAGAAAACUGCAUAGAAAAGAGAGAAACAGGAAAAAAUAGCAGGUAGAAACCAUCAAAUGUUUGUAAAGCAUUCAGGUCAAGCUAUCAAGAGCUAACGGUGGAUACCU